rfam:Kushneria marisflavi strain SW32, complete genome.
CGUUCUCUGGGGUGUUUGCCAGUUGUUAUAGUCCCUCGAGCCUAUGCGCAGUACCCAGGGGGCCACUAUAAGUGGGCCUGUGUGCAUGUCCGCGCGACGGAAAGCCUGAUGGCCCACUUGCGGUCACCCACCUUGAACCAGUAGGUUCAGGGCCAGAACAACAGCGGCAUUCUGGAGAACCC